rnacentral:tRNA from 1 species
AGACGGAUAGCUUAGCGGUUAAAGCACGGGCCUCAUGAGCUCGGGAUCGUAAGUUCGAAUCUUACUCCCUCUA